UAGCGAACUAAUCGAACUAUAAUAAAAUAACCUCAAAAGCUCCAGUCGAAUAUAGAAAUUAGCUGUUUAAUUUCAUUUGAAAGUUAAAUAUUAACUUUAAACCAAUUGUUGCAUCACAAUGACUGAGGAAAUACAAAAGAAACUUCAGAAGGAGGUCGAGAUGAUCACCAGCGUCCAAAAAGAAUAUCAUAAGGCGGUCUCCCAGAAACAACAAUUAGACAGUCAGUUAAAUGAAAAUAAAGCAGUCAAGGAAGAACUGUUGCUGCUUAAGAAGGAUGCUGAAGUCUACAAGUUAAUCGGGCCGGUGUUAGUCAAGCAGGAUUUGGAAGAAGCGAAACAGAAUGUCGCAAAACGAAUGGAAUUUAUCACAAAGGAGAUCAAGAGAACUGACGGUCACAUUUCAGCACUGGAGAACAAGCAGGAAGCACUCCAGGAAAAUGUAAAUAAAUUGAGAAACGAUAUGGGGAAACUCAAAGUCAAAGCUUGAUGAAUUAACCUAUAACUAAGUAAUGCUAUUUCUCUACUCUAAUAUUACGCACUGCAAAUGUAUUUUAUAUCGAAAUAUAUGCUUAGUAUUAACAGUUAAAAAAAA